rnacentral:rRNA from 1 species
AAAACAUCUCUGUGUGAAAGGAAAACACAGUUUAACCUGCUCACUGAAUUUAAUUUAAAGAGCCGCAGUAUUUUGACUGUGCGAAGGUAGCAUAAUAGAUUGUCCCUUAAUUAGGGGCUAGAAUGAACGGUUGGACAAAGUAUCAUCUGUUUCUUAUUAUAAUUUCUAAAUUUUACUUUUAAGUGAAAAGGCUUAAAUACAACAAAAAGACGAUAAGACCCUAUAAAUCUUUACAAAAUUUAUACAUUUAUUUCUGAAUUGUAUUUGUGAAAUGAUAUAAAAGUUAAGAUUAUUGUUUUGCUGGGGCGGCAUAGAUAUAUUACAAAACUGUUUAUAAAUUACUAUCAAAUAUUAUUGUUUAAUUUGAUCCUUUAAAAGAUUAAAAGAUUAAGAUACUUUAGGGAUAACAGCGUUAUUUUUUCUGAGAGUUCCUAUCGAAGAGAAAGUUUGCGACCUCGAUGUUGAAUUAAGGUUUCUUUAUGGUGUAGCAGUC